ensembl:lincRNA Neat1 nuclear paraspeckle assembly transcript 1 (non-protein coding)
GAGUUAGUGACAAGGAGGGCUCGCUCUUGGGGCUAGUGGUGGGGAGGCAGUGGCCAGUUCAGGGCUCAGAUGAGAGAGGUGGCAGAAUUAGAGGCAGCCACUAGGAUGGGGGUGCGAGGAGAAGCGGGGCUAAGUAUAAAGGAGACUAGAUUUUGGGACAGUGGACGUGUGGAAGGCAGCUUCCAAAGCGCCUUUAACAAUCCACAAAGAACCAGCAGCUUUCAAGACCAGGCUAUCCCUACUGUCUGCUGGCACUUGACGUCCAGGAGGGCACAAGUUUCACAGGCCUACAUGGGGGCAGUGUCCUAGCUUGAGUGGCAGAGCAGCAGUUGGUGGAGACGGGUGGACUGGGGGCCCUUGAAGGCCCCAGAAAUCAUAGAGGACAGGCAGUGGGGCAGGACUAGGUGCGUAGUGGAGGUCGCCUUUGAUCUUGACAAAACCAGCAGACCCCUUUUUUUCCAGAUAAGGGGUUGUGAACCCACCUGGGGAUGAGGCCUGGUCUUAUGGAAGGUGGACUUAGCUUCGCUGGGCGGACAGCUCUGGCCCAGGGUGAUAGCAGUGCCCUCUCUGGACUUUGCCUAGGUUCCGUGCUUCCUCUUCUGUGGUCUCACUCUUCCCUACUCUUGCCCCUCACUCUGAGGUUAAGGGGUCACUUAAAACCUUGCCCCUGGGUCGUCCGGUAAGCCUGAGGAGGAUGUAGAGUCGGUGCUGGAGUCAUGGGCACGGCAUUUUGGUAACGGUGGAGGACACCCUGACUGGGCGGGGAGGGAUGGUGUUGAUUCACAGAGGGCGGGACGUGAGUGAGUGUGGACCCUGGGGUGGGCUCACAGCCAUGUUUCCGGUCACCCAAAUGCUUCAUGGACGUGGUUUAUCACUAUAGUGUUCACCAUGGCAAGCAGAUGGCACCAGGAGAUAUGGAGCCCCUGCCAGUGUGAGUCGUAGCAGUGCAGGAGGGCUCACCCUGGAGGAGACAGCGGCCUCGGUUGACGCCUACACAGUGAAUUCCAGAGGCUUAGGAAGCGCGUCCCUGCCCUGGGUCCAGGCCUUUCUCAGGAAGCCCUGUGCUCAGGAGGCCAUCGUUGAAGUCAGCAUGUAGGGGGUGGGCAGGUGCUUCCAGCCGGAGGGGCCGUCGGCUGUGACUGUUCCAGAUGAAUGUCUUGUUCUGGGAGCAUCAUUCUUUGCGGAUGCAUGAAUGGCAGCAGGCUCCCUUUUUCAUGGGGGUAGAGGCGUUCGACUGCUGCAUCUUCUAAACAAGCCUCCAUCCAGCCUUUGUAGUUCUGUGCUGCGAACUUGGCCUCGAGAAGAUUGCGUAAGGUGUAGGACACUUUAACGUCUGCGCAGCGUGCUGCACUGUAGAUUGGGACCCCAGUGACCUCGCCCACCUUCCCUGCUUCUGCAGCCUGCCUGCCUCUGCAUUGGUCAGAGGGAUUCUUAACUGAAAACUUGUGGGUGUUGGGGAAAGCUGUUGGGUUGUAAAUGACUGGUGUGGAGGAAUCUUCCUUAGAUGGAGCUGGUUGUAAAAUGGGUAGGGUUUGUGGUUUAACAGUGGGAAGGCACAAGUUAGCCACAAAUUCUGCCGACUUGGUAGAUGCCGUAUUUAAUUUGGGCUUUGGGACGUCUUCUGGACUAAAAGGGAUCAGUGGGCCCGAAGUGGUCCCUGGGAAUGGUCUCUCCCAGGGUGUGGAUUUGAUACUGGGUGGUUGAGUGGCAACAGUGGUUCUGGCCCCUUUUGUUCAUUAGCUUUUAUGACUUAGGGCCUGGCUGUGUAUACCAGGCUGGCCUGGGUUCACAGCCCUGCUCAGAUGACAGUGUCCUGAAACAAUGGCCUUCCAAGGUGAAACCUGAGUUAUGGAUCAAGCUUGGGAAUAAUACUUUUGGCACCAGAUAUGGGACUUGUGGGAGAAAGCAGGGCUCAGCUUGGCAUUGGUGGGUUGAAGGAGUCGGGGUGCGGGUGAGGAUUGUGCCUGGAACCGUGGGUUGAUGGGAAUAACAGUUUGGGAACUAAAUAGUUCACAUGAAAAUCUAAAGGCUGAUGGUAAAUCCCUGCAGGUGGCACUACUUUGAGAUGCAGUUGCUUGGAAAAUAACAAAAUCCUACAAGGGGAAAAGCAAAAUUGUUUUGCUUCACUGUUGAAUGGGGAAGGGUGACAUUGAAAAGCUUUUCUUAGUUGCUCAAUAGAUGGUUGUCACUACCCUGACCCAGGCAGGCCACAGGGGUGGAGCCUGGUGGGGGGAAGCUGAUUGCCAAGAAGUGAAGCUGGGGAGGGGCUUGUAAACGCCUCCGUUGUGGGCUCUGAAACCAUAGUAUGGGGAGGUUGGCAGACUCUUCUGGGUCUCUAUUGAAAUUCUGUCAUACUGUGUGAUUAAGAAUUCCAAUGCUGCUAUCUAAGGGAAUUUCAUAUGGGAGUCAUGCCUUAUACAACACAUACAGGAAUUUAAUGUGUGAGCCAUGCCUUCAAAACACAUCUCGAAUUUCUGGAAUUGGCCAGAAGACAACAGGGUUUGCUUAUUUAACCUUUCAAAUCAGUCAUUGUGACAAGGGGACAGGGUCUUGCGCUUGCUAUGAGAUCAUUGUGAUGCUUGUAGAAACCUCAUGAGUGCUUUGCCACUGAAUACAUCCAUUGUGGGUUUGGCUUGAAUGGUGCUUAAAAACCAUCCCUGAGCAGAGGGGAAGCUGUUAAACUGUCAGUCAAAGCAGUUUGGGAAAUAAAAGAGACUGGGCCCUGGGUCAUCUUACUAGAUAACACUUUGUAAAAAUUGGUUCUGAAAACCCUGUUUAUUUGCAUAUUUGUGAAAACCCUGUAUAUGUGGUGGUUUUGUGAGUGUGCUUAAAAGUGGUGUGACCAGGGCAAGAUUGCUCAUUGGAACAGCUGUGUGGAAUGGGGAAAUGUGAAGAAAGCUGUAACUGCAGGUUGGUCGCACACGCUUCUCUGUACUAAAGUGUUCAGUGUACAAACCCACUAACCAUUUUCCUCCCCUUUACAGCAAAAUAAAGGUUUGAGAUUGAA